CCGUAAUCCCUGUUCCUUAAUCCUUUGACAAAUGCUCACUUUGGAUUUCCUCCACUUCUCUCCACUUCCGGUCCGAGUUCCGAUGUGGGCCUGAACAGCCGCCUGAGACCCCAGAACACAGGAACACUCAAAACAUGAUCACAAAGCAAACCCAGUUCCUCAAAUCCAAAUUCCUCUCAUCUCAGCCCCUAAUGAAACUCCAAUCUCAGCUUACACCCUCUUCACAAAUCACCACCGACACCCAGUUUCACAGCCUAGGUAUCAAUUCAGCAAACCAAAUGAUCACGAGAUUCUCAAAGUCCGGUGAUCUGAGCUCUGCACAGAAGGUGUUUGAUCAAAUGCAUGAGCGAGACAUUGUUUCAUGGAAUUCAAUCAUGUCUGCUUAUACCCAAAACAACCAUUUUGAUGAAGCAAUAAGAACCUUUUCAGAUUUGCACAGAUUUGGAUUGACCCUCACAAAUACUUCUUUUUCGACCGUGCUGACUUCUUGUGCGAAGCUUAGAGCUCUUGAUCAAGGAAGACAGGUUCACGGGCUAUCGAUGAAAUUGCGGGCAGUGGGGAAUGUUUUUGUGGGCACUUCUUUGAUCACAAUGUAUUCAAAAUGCAAUGUGGUUGAUGGGUUGUGUUGGAUUUUUGACAGCAUUGAUUGUUUGAAUGUUCCAGCAUGGAAUGCUUUGAUAUCCGGUUAUGCAUCGAAUCGAAGGAUUAGGGAUGCUCGUGCUGUUUUUGAACGAAUGCCGAACCCUAAUGUUCUUUCGUGGACUGCAAUGGUUAAUGGGUAUAUUGAGGUUAAGGAAGUAAGGACUGCAUUAGAGCUAUUCAGUUUGAUGCCGAACAAGAACGAAGUGACUUGGUCAGUAAUUUUAGGAGGAUUUGUUGAUAACGGGAAUUAUGAAGAGGCAAUUAAAUUUUUUACUAGAAUGAUGUAUGAAGGAUUUCAUGCUAAUGGUCCUUGCAUUGUCAAGGUUAUUAGAGCUUGUUCAUCCAUGAGGAACCUUAAUCAUGGUAGUAAAGUUCAUGGAUGUGUCAUUAAAUUUGGAUUUCAUCGUGAUGAAAUCAUUGAGGCCUCUUUGGUUUUCAUGUAUUGUGAGUGUUCAAGCAUUGAGGAAGCAAAAUUAGAGUUUGACAAAAUGGAGGGUAAGUUCACUGGGUCAUGGAACUCUUUGUUAUGUGGUUAUAUCAAUAGUAAUAGAGUUGAUGAAGCUAGGACACUGUUUGAUACUAUGGAUGCAAGAGACAGAGUUUCAUGGAACUUGAUGGUUAACGGUUAUUUGAAAUCUAAUAGGAUUGAUGAUGCUAUUGAGUUGUUUGCUAAGAUGCUUGAACCUACAGUGGAAUCGAUCACCGCUUUGAUGUAUAGUUUCAUACGAAAUGGAAGGAAAAGUGAAGCUCAAGAGUUAUUGAAUAUGAUGCCUCAAGGAGACAUAGUAGCAUAUACUACUUUGAUUUUUGGUUAUUUGGAAGAAAGCCAAUUAGACAAAGCAAUGGAGCUUUUCAAUAAGAUGCUCAAAAAGAAUGUAGUUACUUAUAAUGUUAUGAUCUCUGGUUUUCUCCUUCAUGGUAAGGUAACCGAAGCUUAUGAGCUCUUCAGCAAUUGCCAUGACAAGGAUUCUAUAACUUGGAGUGCUUUAAUUGCUGGUUUUGUCCAAAAUGGUUUAAAUGAAGACGCAAUCCAACUCUAUAAGCAGAUGCUAUUGACCGGCAUAAAACCUAGUGAGUCAGUUAUAACUAGUCUUCUCAGAUCAUCUUCAAAUCUUUCCAUAACGAUCCUUGGAGAACAACUUCAUUCUGUUGCCAUCAAGUUAGCGCUCAAAAAGUUCUUGGUGAUUGGUAAUUCACUGAUAAAUAUGUAUAGUAAAUGUGGGGACAUGUACGUAGCUAAACUUGUUUUUGAUCAGAUGGUAGAUAGAGAUAUUGUAAGUUGGAACUCGAUAAUUUAUGGUUAUGCACUACAUAGUCUCGGGAAGGAAGCCAUUGAGAUGUUCAAUAUUAUGAAGAGGUCGGCAAUUGUACCUGAUGAGAUCACAUUUCUUGGCCUUCUGUCUGCGUGUAAUCAUAACCGUCUACUUGAAGAAGCACAAUGUUACUUCAAGUCCAUGAGUGAUUAUGGCAUACUACCUAAAUUACCCCAUUAUGCAUGUAUGAUUGAUCUUUUUUGUCGAAUAGGAAUGGUUGAGAAAGCUGGAGAAUUAGCUUCUUCAAUGCCAUAUGAGCCUGACUCUGUUGUAUGGACUUCACUUUUGAGUGGAUGCAGAUUAAAUGGCAAUGUUGAAUUAGCUCAGCAUGCAGCUAAUCAACUUUUGGAAUGGGAUCCAAUGGAUCAUAUGCCAUAUUUGCAUCUUAUCUAUGUAUAUGGAUCAGCUGGUAAAUGGGACACUGUGGAAGAUAUGAGAAAUCAGUUAGUUAAAUUUGGAUCGAAGAAGCAACCUGGCUGCAGCUGGAUUUAGAUUUCGACAUUUGAUGUUUGCGAGGAAACCACAAUACCACAUUUUCAAAGACACAGAAAAUCCAAGGCUCAUGGAUAAGAAGACUGAGAGGUCACUCGGAGGUAAAAUAUGAGGGGUCUGAGUUCAUAUUGUCAGAGCUUAUUGUUCUUGCUGUGGAGAUUUUAAUGAAGCUAUGUACUCUGAGGAAUGAAGCUUGGUAACAUUUAACGAACCAGGAAGAAAUGAACCUUUUUCUGAUUUGGGAUGUAUAUUUUCGCCCAAACUCAUCUGCAGGCGAGCUUCUCCAGGCGAGGACGAAGCUCAGGCGAGGGAGAGCUCCAGUCGGCGAGCUCGAGAUCUCCGCAGGCGAGCUCGUGAGCGGGCGAGGUCUAGAAGCUGUCGAGCUCGAGCUCAAGCGCUGUAGGCGAGCUCGAGACCUUACAGGCGAGCUUGGGGGCGUUGUAGGCGAGCGAGCGGGAUGCAGGCGGGGUCGAUCCAAGACUGGCAAGCUCGAGGCAAGCUGGCCAGCUCCUCGAGCGCAUGCGAGGCUGUCGACAGUCUGUUGACAUCUCAGCGCUAGGGUUUCCCCAUAAAAGGGAAACCUAGAUCCGAGAUCUCGUAGUGUAGGCUUCAUCUCCUUCUUCUCGAGAUAUUUCAGCGGUGAUGUUUUUCUCCUCAGCCGAUUUUCUUCCGUUCCUUUUCUCCAGAUCUCAGAAAUUUGAGGGAAUCUUUUUGAGGGGAGAUUAAAGAGGAGAGAUAUUUAAGAAGAGGAUUUUAUUACUGUAGCUACAGCAUUAAUAAUUAGUAAUUAU